rnacentral:rRNA from 1 species
AACGAACGCUGGCGGCAGGCUUAACACAUGCAAGUCGAAUGCGUGUAGCAAUACACGAGUGGCGCACGGGUGUGUAACGCGUGGAUAUCUGCCUUUUGGUUCGGAAUAACUCCGGGAAACUGGAGCUAAUACCGGAUGGUUCCUUCGGGAUAAAGAUUUAUCGCCAAAAGAUGAGUCCGCGUACGAUUAGCUAGUUGGUGAGGUAAUGGCUCACCAAGGCGACGAUCGUUAGCUGGUCUGAGAGGACGAUCAGCCACGCUGGGACUGAGACACGGCCCAGACUCCUACGGGAGGCAGCAGUGGGGAAUAUUGGACAAUGGGGGCAACCCUGAUCCAGCCAUGCCGCGUGAGUGAUGAAGGCCUUCGGGUUGUAAAGCUCUUUUGGCGGGGACGAUGAUGACGGUACCCGCAGAAUAAGCCCCGGCUAACUUCGUGCCAGCCGCCGCCGUAA